UGGGAAGUCUUGGACAAUGGGCGCAAGCCUGAUCCAGCCAUGCCGCGUGAGCGAUGAAGGCCUUAGGGUUGUAAAGCUCUUUCACCGGUGAAGAUAAUGACGGUAGCCGGAGAAGAAGCCCCGGCUAACUCCGUGCCAGCAGCCGCGGUAAUACGGAGGGGGUUAGCGUUGUUCGGAAUUACUGGGCGUAAAGCGCACGUAGGCGGACCAGAAAGUUGGGGGUGAAAUCCCGGGGGCUCAACCCCCGGAACUGCCUCCAAAACUAUUGGUCUAGAGUUCGAGAGAGGUGAGUGGAAUUCCAAGUGUAGAGGUGAAAUUCGUAGAUAUUUGGAGGAACACCAGUGGCGAAGGCGGCUCACUGGCUCGAUACUGACGCUGAGGUGCGAAAAGUGUGGGGAGCAAACAGGAUUAGAUACCCUGGGUAGUCCACACCGUAAAACGAUGAAUGCCAGUCGU
rnacentral:rRNA from 1 species